rnacentral:rRNA from 1 species
AGGAUAAACGCUGGCGGCGUGCCUUAUGCAUGCAAGUCGCACGCACCGCAAGGUGAGUGGCGGACGGGUGAGUAACACGUAGGAACCUGCCCGGAAGUGGGGAAUAACUCCUCGAAAGAGGGGCUAAUACCGCAUACGGUCGAGAGACCAAAGCUUCGGCGCUUUCGGAGGGGCCUGCGGCGGAUUAGCUUGUUGGUGGGGUAACGGCCUACCAAGGCGACGAUCCGUAGCUGGUCUGAGAGGAUGGUCAGCCACACUGGGACUGAGACACGGCCCAGACUCCUACGGGAGGCAGCAGCAAGGAAUUUUGCGCAAUGGACGAAAGUCUGACGCAGCAACGCCGCGUGGGGGAUGAAGGCUCUCGGGUUGUAAACCCCUUUUGCGAGGGACGAAGAUCUGACGGUACCUCGCGAAUAAGCCACGGCUAACUACGUGCCAGCAGCCGC